GAUGAACGCUGGCGGUAUGCUUAACACAUGCGAGUCGAACGGACUCUUCGGAGUUAGUGGCGGACGGGUGAGUAACGCGUGAGAAUCUGGCUUUGGGUUCGGGACAACCACUGGAAACGGUGGCUAAUACCGGAUGUGCCGAGAGGUAAAAGAGAAAUUGCCUGAAGAUGAGCUCGCGUCUGAUUAGCUAGUUGGUGAGGUAAAGGCUCACCAAGGCAGCGAUCAGUAGCUGGUCUGAGAGGAUGACCAGCCACACUGGGACUGAGACACGGCCCAGACUCCUACGGGAGGCAGCAGGGGGGAAUUUUCCGCAAUGGGCGAAAGCCUGACGGAGCAAUACCGCGUGAGGGAAGAAGGCUCUUGGGUUGUAAACCUCUUUUCUUAGGGAAGAACAAAAUGACGGUACCUAAGGAAUCAGCAUCGGCUAACUCCGUG
rnacentral:rRNA from 1 species